UUGAACGCUGGCGGCCUGCUUUACACCUGCAAGUCGCACGGCAGCGCGGGCUUCGGCCUGGCGGCGAGUGGCGAACGGGUGAGUAAUGCAUCGGAACGUGCCCAGUAGUGGGGGAUAGCCCGGCGAAAGCCGGAUUAAUACCGCAUACGACCUGAGGGUGAAAGCGGGGGACCGAAAGGCCUCGCGCUAUUGGAGCGGCCGAUGUCGGAUUAGCUAGUUGGUGGGGUAAAGGCUUACCAAGGCGACGAUCCGUAGCUGGUCUGAGAGGACGACCAGCCACACUGGGACUGAGACACGGCCCAGACUCCUACGGGAGGCAGCAGUGGGGAAUUUUGGACAAUGGGGGCAACCCUGAUCCAGCCAUGCCGCGUGCGGGAAGAAGGCCUUCGGGUUGUAAACCGCUUUUGUUCGGGAAGAAAUCCUCUGGGCUAAUACCCCGGGGGGAUGACGGUACCGGAAGAAUAAGCACCGGCUAACUACGUG
rnacentral:rRNA from 1 species